rnacentral:rRNA from 1 species
CCUACGGGUGGCAGCAGUCGAGAAUCAUUCACAAUGGGGGAAACCCUGAUGGUGUGACGCCGCGUGGGGGAAUGAAGGUCUUCGGAUUGUAAACCCCUGUCAUGUGGGAGCAAAUUAAAAAGAUAGUACCACAAGAGGAAGAGACGGCUAACUCUGUGCCAGCAGCCGCGGUAAUACAGAGGUCUCACGCGUUGUUCGGAAUCACUGGGCGUAAGGCGUGCGUAGGCUGUUUCGUAAGUCGUGUGUGAAAGGCGCGGGCUCAACCCGCGGACGGCACAUGAUACUGCGAGACUAGAGUAAUGGAGGGGGAACCGGAAUUCUCGGGGUAGCAGUGAAAUGCGUAGAUAUCGAGAGGAACACUCGUGGCGAAGGCGGGUUCCUGGACAUUAACUGACGCUGAGGCACGAAGGCCAGGGGAGCGAAAGGGAUUAGAUACCCCUGUAGUC